GCCGCCAGCCACAAGUGCUGGUUGCCGGGUAAGGAACUUUACCAGUCUUCUAGCGGAAUAGCUGUCUGUGCCGCGCUUCCCGCAGUGGAGGGGCCGCAGCCAUCCUUGAAUGCUGGCAGCCGGGCCGCGCUUCCCGCAGUGGAGGGGCCGCUGCCAUCCUUGAAUGCUGGCAGCCGGGAGGAUCCUUUGUCAGCUCCACAAAGUGCCCCCUCUGCUGCGCUCCGAUCUGUUAGCCAGACUCCUAGCCCCAGUGAAGGCUAGCACAUGGAACACUUCUCGGAAGCUGUGGACGAGCCUUCAGUGGAGAACAUGGAGCAGGCUGCAGAUCCAAAGGAUUCGCCCCUUUAUGAUGAUGGCCUACCUGCACUAAAGGACCUG